GGGAUGUGUGAUGCCAGGACUAUGGAAGCCUUGGGACUUAGUUUAAGAAUUUAUUAAAAAUGUAUUAGAUGAGUCAUUUAGUCUUCCGCUGUUAGUUAACUGUAUGUUUUUAUUUUGUUUCCGCUGUUUAUUACUUGCGUGCUUGGAUUUCAUUAAACUGCGUGGUGAUGUUAUUCCUUUUAGUUGUGAAAAUAUAUGUUCCAGCCGCCUGUGACUGAGUAUAGUUUGUUUGUAUUGUUGAUUUGGUCACCGGUACAGGGGGGACUCUGCCGAAAUUUUUCGGUAGGGUUUCCAUGUGAUUUUUAAUCAUACCGGUUAAGUAGAGUUAGUAGUUAAGUAACGGUCAUCCUUAGAGAGUAGUAGUAGUAAGAAGGGUGGUCGUUACAUUAUAUUUCCAAACUAGGGUGGAAUAAACCUAAUUACUUCAUUAGGUGGAAUGGGAUCUGAAUUUAUCCUUAUCCAGGACUCAAUGUAAGUUGCCAUUAAUAUGAUUUUUCCUUUUGAUUAAUAUUGUAGAUGAUCUUCGUUGAAAGAGGAUCCUGUGAGUUGUUGAUUCAUGUCUUGGAUUAAAAAGAAGAAAAUGUGAAGGAAUGAUAUAGUUCUGAUUGAGGUUCGGUUGAGGAUGUUGGGGAUCUUUUGAGGAUUCGGAUUUGGGACGAACACUUCAACAUAGAGGUUGAUUAGCUCGAUCUAUUUGAGGUACCAGGUUGUUUACGGAGACGCUUGGAGUAUCCUGUCUGCCGGUCCCCACGUCACAUCA